rnacentral:rRNA from 1 species
AGGUCCGGCAUAAUCUCGGGAAACUGAGGAUAAUUCCGGAUAGCUCUUUUUGGCUGGAAUUGCAUUAAGAGUCAAAGUUCUUCGCCUAAGGAUGGGUCUGCGGCCUAUCAGGUAGUAGAGGGUGUAACGCACCUUCCAGCCGACAACGGGUACGGGUUGUGAGAGCAAGAGCCCGGAGAUGGAUUCUGAGACAUGAAUCCAGGCCCUACGGGGCGCAGCAGGCGCGAAAACUUUACAAUGCAGGAAACUGUGAUAAGGAAACACCGAGUGCCCGCAUCUAAUGCGGGCUGUCCAUAUACUCAAAAAGUAUGUGUUAGCAAGGGCCGGGCAAUACCGGUGCCAGCCGCCGCGGUAAUACCGGUGGCCCGAGUGGUAGCCGCUUUUAUUUGGUCUAAAGGGUCCGUAGCCGGUCCGGUCAGUCCAUUGGUAAAUCCGCGCGCCCAACGCGCGGUCUUCAGUGGAUACUUCCGGACUUGGGACCGGGAGAGGCAAGAGGUACUAUAGGGGUAGGAGUGAAAUCUUGUAAUCCUUAUGGGACCACCUGUGGCGAAGGCGUCUUACCAGAACGGGUCCGACGGUGAGGGACGAAAGCUGGGGGCACGAACCGGAUUAGAUACCCGGGUAGUCCCAGCCGUAAACUAUGCCCGCUGGGUGUCAGGCAUGGCGUGACUGUGUCUGGUGCCGUAGAGAAGUCGUGAAGCGGGCCACCUGGGAAGUACGGCCGCAAGACUGAAACUUAAAGGAAUUGGCGGGGGAGCACCACAACGCGU